rnacentral:rRNA from 1 species
GAUCAGGUAGGAAUACCCGCUGAACUUAAGCAUAUCAAAACCCGAGAGGA